ACGCUCACCUGGCAGGGGAGGCACCAUGAUCACAAAGGUGGUUUUCCCAGGCUUAGGUCCACGCAUUGAAUUCCAGGUGCACUGACACCUGCAAUUUCCCCAAAUGCAGGAAACCGGACUGUGUAGUCAGUGGCGGGCAGGGACUGUGUUUGCACUUUUCCCUGU
ensembl:snRNA U1 U1 spliceosomal RNA